UCUUUCUUCUACUCUGCUUGAAGCCACUAAUGCUUCUCCAUUUACCGCCUGUCUUCUGAAAAUUCAUUAAAACGUCUUGUAUGUUGAUGAGGGAACCAAGGUCUGAAGAACAGAAAUAUCCUCUCCAAGUUCACCCAGCUUGGGCCAGUUCUCCUGUUUCACCUAGAAUUGGAUGUUCCAACUCCUGGAGAUUUUUGUGCCAUGAAGAGAUGGAGACACCAGAAAUUCAAGCCAAAGGCCUGGGACCUCCUUUUUCUCUUCCCUCCACCUCAAAGGGGACCUGUUUGGAUCCCAACAAGGAAGGCCGAUCCUUGGAAGGUGCUGCUUCAGGGCACUUUGUAUGAAUGCAUGAGGCAGCAUCCAUGCUGGAAAAACACACAGGAUCAUCCAGACUCACCAGUUGACUCUACUUUAAUAAACCCCAGCCCAUGUCCCUUGUUCACACCUUAGGCAACUUCUGAGGUGGGGAAAUGAUCUGGAGAAGUUGAAAAGAUAAGAAUAGCAAGGAUACAGAACAAGCAGUGAUCACUGCAUGAUGCUUAUUACUGGAAGACCAGUUCCUCAGGAACCAGUUUUAAAGCACAUUUUUUAUCACACAGGAUUUUAACGUCUAUUUUCUUAUAUGAGUUUACAACAAGUCUGUGAAGGUGACUGUCUUAGCUUUGCUGUAGCAUACAACUACGCUAUAACAAAAUACCAGAAACUGGCAGCUUAUAAACCACAGACAUUUAUUUCUCAUGGUUCUGGAGGCUAGGAAGUUCAAGAUCAAGGCACUAGCAGAAUGGGUGUCUGGUGAAGACCCACUUCUGGUUCAAAUAAGGCAUCUUCUUUCUGUGCCUUCACAUGGCAGAAGAGACAAGGCAGCUCUCUGGCCUCAUUUUAUAAAGUCACUAAUCCCAUUUAUGAGGGCUCCACCCUCAUAAUCUAAUCACCUCCCAAAGGCUCCCCCUCCUAAUAUCAUCACAUUGGUUAUUAGGUUUCAACAUAUGAAUUUCAGAGGCAUAUAACAUUCAAAUCAUAACAGUAUCCUUUUUUGCAUUUUAAAGAUGAGGUAUCAGAGGUACUGCAAACUUAAGUGAGUCACCCAAGUUCAGGCAUGGGUGAGCCUAGGAUGCAAGGCCAAGUCUAUCUGACACCAGAUACACCACAGCUGUAUGCAUGCACCACAUUUCUUCUUAGUACACAGCCUAUGUGCAUAAGAUGGACUGAACCCCUCUUCUGUCUCCUCUGACUUCACUCCUAUGCAGAGCUCCAGACCCAUCUAUCCAUCCUAAAACGGUAGAACUCAUGGUCCAUCAGGAAAUGAUCCCCAGGGAGUGGCUCCUUAAGUGUCAGCUUCAAAGUGUCAGAGAAAGAAACUCACUCCUGUUUAGGUGCCCUCCAAAUAUACAGAAUGUGGUGCAAAGAGCCCCAGGCUGUCUCCACCCAAAUCUCAUCUUAAAUUGUAGCUCCCAUGAUUCCCACAUGUUGUAGGAGAGACCCAGUGGGAGAUAACUGAAUCAUAGGGGCCAGUUUCCCCCAUCU